rnacentral:lncRNA from 1 species
UCAUUGGUUGAGGUCUGCCUCCGGGACAUCUUAACCCCCUUCGCACCCUGCGCUUCCAGGUUCGUCUUGAUGGAGGUGGAGUCACUUCUGUGGUGUUGGAGAAAGUCAUGAGGCAGAGAGCAGAGCCAUUCCAGCACUUGAAUUGGGAGCUGGCGCACCCUGGAGACCCUCUACCCCAGCUGCGGGCGCACACACAGGUGGGCCACAGGGCGGUGAGCCGGCUGAGAGCAGCGUCUAUGCUGAAGGGAAGCAAAAGCACUGAAUCCUAGUCCCGACAUGGCUACUAAAUAUUGUUUGAGUAAGAGCUUAAGUCUUCCUUGCCUUUAACCAUUUCUUUUCUGUUCUGGGAAAGGGGAAAGGAGGACCCAUUGUGAGCAUACGCUGUGCACUAGACAAAUGCCCUGGGAGUUCCCCAGGAUCGUCUCGAUCUUCACAAGUAUCAGGAGAAGUGAUAUUUUUCUCUGUCUACAGACAGGAAGAUUAAGACCAGGAGAGCAAAAGGGAUAUGCUGAAGGUCACUCAGCUACUCAUGAAAACAUUCAGCUUUGCCAAAGCCUUGCUCCUCCAUCCCCCAAGAUGAAAUGAGGAAAAUAAUCAGAAUCUGGUCAUGAAGGGCAACAUUUGCAGAACACUGCAGCGCAGGGCAAGAAAAAGUCCCCUCAAAAUAGUGAAAGGCUUGUGGCUGUGCUCAGUAACUUCCACCCUCCCCUCCUUUUCUUCCUUCCUUAUGAAAUUCCCUGCUCAGCGCCUCAGUCUGCCUUUGCUACUUGCAACACCUGCAGCCAAGAAGCAGGUGGUGUUUACUCUGGGCCCACACAGGCCUGAAGCCCUCUACGCUGUGGGAGCCCAGGAAGGGCCCGGCAGGCAGAAUGACUGAGAACUGGGAGGCAGCAGUUAUUUACUGAGGGAUUCCUGCGUGCCGACACUGCACAUCGGUGAACUCAAGCAGCCCUCAAAAUAAAGCCACAAACCGAUAUUUGACGCCUCCACUUCAUCGAUGAGCAACGUGCUAACUCCCUAAGACCACACAGCUGAGUCGAGGAAACAACGAGAUUUAAAGUCAAAUCUUUGGGAUUCUCAAGCUGAUCUUUCCCCACCAUAUUAUACUUUCUUUCAUGGAGUAAUGAAUAAAACAUACAUUUCAAACAAG